rnacentral:rRNA from 1 species
AUUGAACGCUGGCGGCAGGCCUAACACAUGCAAGUCGAACGGUAACAGAAAGCAGCUUGCUGCUUUGCUGACGAGUGGCGGACGGGUGAGUAAUGUCUGGGAAACUUCCUGAUGGAGGGGGAUAACUACUGGAAACGGUAGCUAAUACCGCAUAACGUCGCAAGACCAAAGAGGGGGACCUUCGGGCCUCUUGCCAUCGGAUGUGCCCAGUUGGGAUUAGCUAGUAGGUGGGGUAACGGCUCACCUAGGCGACGAUCCCUAGCUGGUCUGAGAGGAUGACCAGCCACACUGGAACUGAGACACGGUCCAGACUCCUACGGGAGGCAGCAGUGGGGAAUAUUGCACAAUGGGCGCAAGCCUGAUGCAGCCAUGCCGCGUGUAUGAAGAAGGCCUUCGGGUUGUAAAGUACUUUCAGCGGGGAGGAAGGGAGUAAAGUUAAUACCUUUGCUCAUUGACGUUACCCGCAGAAGAAGCACCGGCUAACUCCGUG